AAAAAAGUGUGUUCGUUAUAUUUUGUUUUUGGGUUCAUCCAUCUGUGGAGCAUGACCAAACUGAAUCUACAGCGAUGGAGGGAAUUGCUGAAAAAAGCAUUACCGUUUCACAUGGCUAUCCAUUACCUGUUAAAAAAAAACAUGAUUGUUGCUUAUUUUACCGUUUUAAAAAGCAUGCCCGUUGCCGAAUGUUACUGUUAUAAAUGGCAGGGCACUGUUCAUGUGGAUUAGCGAGGGAUUGUGUUCUUCCUCUUAUGUCAAUGUUUGUUUGAUCUUCUGUUUAUUCCAUCAAUGUCUUUUAUAGGAAUUUUAUGUUUCUUUUGUUUUUCUUAUCGUUUUGAUGUUUUCUGAUGAGGGUUUUGUAAGCGAGCAUACUAGUGUGUCUGUCCAUGUUGUGCAUCUGUGAUUUGUUUAGUUUUUUCUGGUUGCUUUUUCUAUUAGAUAGGGAGGGGCAGAACAGAGGAAGAGGGAAGGAAAAAGGCAAAGGCAGAACAAAAGGAAGUUUGACAGUUGAAGAGGGAAGGCAGAACAAAACCAGAGGUUGGCCUGCUCAUCUGCAUUUUGGGUUGAAUGACAAAACCACUGGGCAUCCUCGUCCGCUUGAAAUUGAAGACUCUGCGCUUAGUCAGGUCCUUCAGGCUGAGGAUUCUUCACAAUCCAAAACCCUUGACUGACUUUAGGAGCCCAGAUGGAUAUAGUUGGGUGGGUGGGUACAACCAACUGGAUCUGACUUGGUUACAGUACCACUUUCAUCUCUGCACACUUGGAUCUGACUUUUACUUGUAGCUGCACUCAAACUAGCAUGCAACUCUGUCUCUGAUUCUGGCCUAAACAAGGUCUCUUUCAGGUUACAACAUUCUUAUCUUCCUUGCGAGUCUAUCUCUGUGCAAGAUGAAAGGUGUGGGUUCUGGUCUCUUCGCUAAUUUUAUUCUCUCUAUCCAAGGUCAUUCUGAGGUUCCUUUGUUCCUUCAAUAACCUCAAAGGUGUUUACAACCUAUAAGAAGCAACUUGAACAGCACACCUUCCAGCAUUAUAAGAAGCAACUCGAACGUGUUCGAAUAACAAGAUAAGAAACUGAUUCUACCAUUGACGCUUAAUGGUUUCUUGUUAAAGGUCAUUUUAGGCAUUAUUCAUUUUCAUUUUGGUAAUUUCAAUUUAUUCUGCCUACUGAUAAAUAUAAACAAUUAUGUCGUAGAGAACAAUUCUUUCUUGAUGAUGGUUCAGGAACAAGCAUAAUGAUUCUAAUUGUAAUGCUUGCAAGAGAAUUUUUCAUUUUAUGCACGAUUAUCUAUAUAUAAUUUCUGUCUAUUAUUUUAAACAUUUUUUUUGUUUUUUCAAUAUGUGCAAAAACUUGUUGUUUCCUUGAUUUUGGAAGGAUUGUAGUAUGCAUCCUGUACACCUGCAAUCUUUGUGGAGAGGUACAAUUUUAAAAUUUGGAGAAUUUAUUUGUAGAGCUAUCUUAUGUUGUAAUUUAAUAUUGGGAAAAAAGUACCUAAAAAACAAUUUUCUAAAUUAGAUGUAUGUGUAUCUAGCUAAUAUGUAGAGCUAUCACUGUCACAAAUCACCUCUUCCAUUGCAUUAGCACGGAAAUUGAGCACCAAAUCUGAUAUGGUUCUUGUUAAAUUGGAAGUUGAUUCUGCAGCUCCUAUGAAAGUAUUUCUUAGAACCUCCAAUGCCCUUCUUACAUCUCUCAUGGUCGGUCAUUGCGUUCCAUGUCCAUAUUCUCUAACAACCUUUUACCAACAAUGUCUGGUAGGCUCUUAGGGAACACUGACCUCACUCAAUUUGGGAGGUUCAGGUCAUCAGCAAAUAUGGCAUCAGUUGGUCUCUUCCUUGUGAUCAUCAUCUCAAAUGUCGAGGAAAUAAAUAAACUCAUGCAGCUGUUACCAAAAGUUAUUUAUGCAAUAAUAUUUAAAAAAUUAUAUAAUGUAAUAACAAAAUAAGGCAAAUAAACUCAUGCAGCUAUUACCAAAAGUUAUUUAUGCAAUAAUAUUUAAAAAAUUAUAUAAUGUAACAACAAAAUAAGGCCUACCAGGAGCUAUGUAUCCAAUAGAUCCUCUCGUGGAAAAUGAUGUGCUUAAGGAAUCUACAAUCAUGAUGGAGAUAUUCCAUGCUAUGGGCCACAUCAAUAGCAAUGUUCAGACAUUCAUUAGUUUUGAGUUCACAAACGUCCUCCUCGUUACUUUCAGGAUACAAAUGCUCUUCCAAGCUCCCAUUUGUAGCAAACUGAAGAUUCAAAGCCUUAAACAUAUGAACAUGCACUUACUCUAACGAGAUUUCGAUGUCGAGGAAAUUAAUAAACUCAUGUAGCUAUUACCAGAAGCUAUUUGAACAAUAAUAUUUAAAAAAUUAAAUAAUGUAACAACAAAAUAAGGCCUACCAGAGCUAUGUAGCCAAUAGAUCCUCUCAUGGAAAAUGAUGUGCUCAAAGAAUCUACAACGGUUGACAUGUUUUCAUAUAGAAGCACAUUACUAGGUUUCAACUCACAGUGAACAACUUAGGUAGGAGAAUCAUGAUAUGGAGAUAUUCCAUGCUAUGGGCCACAUCAAUAGCAAUGUUCAGACAUUCAUUCGUUUUGAGUUCACAAACAUCCUCCUCAUGACUUUCAGGAUACAAAUGCUUUUCCAAGCUCCCAUUUGUAGCAAACUGAAGAAUCAAAGCCUUAAAGAUAUGAAUAUGCUAUAACGAUAUUUCGAUGUCGAGUCCUUGCCAAGAUUUUGAAUUCUUUCCCUUGAAAUUGUUUCGGAGUUUUUCAUUUUGGAAAUUGAGUAAAAACUGAUCCAAACCUGCUCACACCAAGCAAAUUUGUCUCAUAAAAUCCAUUUGUUUUGUUUAACAGAUUUUGAUAUGUAAACUUAGGAUAUCUCAGUCUUCCAAACAUGAAGUCUGGAAGAUCAAAUUGAUGUGAUAAAUAUUUCUGACACCACAAUAUCCCAAAUAUUGAAGCACACAGUAAAAUUGCAGUCAUUCCAGCAACCGAUAACAUCACUUUUGUAAGUAAUGAUUUCGCGCUUUUACCCUGAUUUGGACAAGCAUGCACUAAGUAUUUAUCUAGACUACGGAGACCGAUAUUUCCCAUAAAGGAUGCAUUAAAUGUGUUAUUUGAAAACAGUCCUCCUCCUCCUCCUGGAACUUGACCUGUCAAAUUGUUGAAACAAGCAUUGAAGUAGCGAAGCACUUUCAUCUUUGUAGAGAUGUAGGUAUUGUACUUGACAGGAAAUUGAAAGAUUCCAAAUUUUGUAACUUCUCAAGUUCAUUUGGUAUCGGUUCUUCAAAGGCGUUAUGAGAGAGAUAGAGAUGCUCCAGUUCUAAGUUUGGACAUGUCUUCAAAUCAGAAGGUAUUUCUUCUGAGAAAUGGUUGUGGUGAAGAAAAAAGUCUCCUUAGCUGUUGAAGUCUACCAAGAGAGCCUGGUAUUCUUCUUGAUUGCUUUUUCGAACUAACAUCUAACAAUGCUAGACUUUUCAUCUUACCGAUGUCCUCUUGAAGGCCGCCUUCUAGGUUGUUGCCACUCAAGAUCCAAUCUUUCCAACUUAUAGAACCUUUUGAGUCCAGCUGGCAGAUACCCACUUAAAAGAUUAUUACGUAGGUUCAAGUAGGUUAAUUUGGUCGGUAAUUUGUUGAGGUAUGUUUCCCCUUAUCUUGUUGUUCCCAAAAUUUAAGAUCGAGAGAUUCGAGGAAAAGUGGCCUAUGGAUGGAGGCAAAACACCGCUCAAAUUAUUGUGAGACAUUUUUAUAUAUUCUAGGUGGGAACAGUUUGUGAGAGCAGUGAGAAAAGGCAAAAGGAUAUUAAUGCUACCAGCAAGCUGAGUGUGUUCUAAUAUGAUAUAUUGUAGCAAGACCAAAUUGCCCAACUCCUUAGGCAUAUAUCCGCUCAGUUGAUUGUUCCUUAUGUCAAGAAGGUUGAUUUUAGAACUAUUUUUAAGGAAUAUGGUAGCUUUCCACUAAGCUCAUUUCCUCAUAGAUUAAAUUCUUGCAAAUUGAUGAGCAUCCCCACAUUAAAAGGAAUAGUUCCUGACAAUUGGUUGUUACU